UCUUGGCUCAGGAAGAACCGGUAGGGACCAGGGCUUAACACAUGCAAGUCGAGGGGGCAGCGAGGGCGUAGCAAUACCCUUUUCGGCGACCGGCGCACUGGUGAGUAACACGUAUGCGACCUCCCCCCUACAGGGGUUAUAACCCGUAGAAAUGCGGACUAAUCCCCCAUAGUCUUGGGUGCUGCAUGGCAUUCAGGGGAAAGGUCAGCCGGUAGGGGAUGGGCAUGCGGCGCAUUAGCUAGUUGGCGGGGCAACGGCCCACCAAGGCGACGAUGCGUAGGGGUUCUGAGAGGAAGGUCCCCCACACUGGUACUGAGACACGGACCAGACUCCUACGGGAGGCAGCAGUGAGGAAUAUUGGUCAAUGGGCGCAGGCCUGAACCAGCCAAGUCGCGUGAGGGAUGACGGUCCUACGGAUUGUAAACCUCUUUUGUCGGGGAGUAACGUGCGGGACGCGUCCCGUAUUGAGAGUACCCGAAGAAAAAGCAUCGGCUAACUCCGUGCCAGCAGCCGCGGUAAUACGGAGGAUGCGAGCGUUAUCCGGAUUUAUUGGGUUUAAAGGGUGCGCAGGCGGCGCGCCAAGUCAGCGGUCAAAGUUCCGGGCUCAACCCGGUGUCGCCGUUGAAACUGGCGUGCUCGAGUGCGUGCGAGGAAGGCGGAAUGCGUUGUGUAGCGGUGAAAUGCAUAGAUAUGACGCAGAACUCCGAUUGCGAAGGCAGCUUUCCAGCGCGCUACUGACGCUGAGGCACGAAAGCGUGGGGAUCGAACAGGAUUAGAUACCCUGGUAGUCCACGCAGUAAACGAUGACUACUAGCUUUCCGGGAUGAUUGAGUCCUGGGAGGCACAGCGAAAGCG
rnacentral:rRNA from 1 species